GCGGAGGGUCAGCCGACGAUGGACCUCGAAAGGCGUUGGGGAGGUUCGACAGACGUCGGAGUUGAUCGGUCAUUGUAAGAAUCCAGCUGUUGGAGUCCGUCCAUCGUAGAAGCUCGUCCGAUAUCCAUCCACUAUGAAAGUUUGGUCGAGGUCUGGUUCUUGCAGAAGGCUAAAAGGAGACUGCUUAUUGUAGAAGCUCGAUCGAAGAUCGGUUGUCAUGGGAGCUCAGAGUAGUGAUCUGGUCGGUGGAUCCUGUCCCACUAUAGAAGCUCGUCUGGGAUCCAGCUACGAAGAAGCUCGGCUGAAAUCUACCUGUAAUGGAAGUUCAAAAGAAAUGUGUUUACAGUAGGGACUCAAAUGGAAUUUGCUUACAAUAGAGAUCUAGAGUAGACCGCCCGCU
rnacentral:lncRNA from 1 species